rnacentral:rRNA from 1 species
AUUGAACGCUGGCGGCAUGCCUUACACAUGCAAGUCGAACGGUAACGGGCCUUCGGGUGCCGACGAGUGGCGAACGGGUGAGUAAUACAUCGGAACGUGCCCGAUCGUGGGGGAUAACGAGGCGAAAGCUUUGCUAAUACCGCAUACGAUCUACGGAUGAAAGCAUGGGACCGCAAGGCCUUGCGCGGACGGAGCGGCCGAUGGCAGAUUAGGUAGUUGGUGGGAUAAAAGCUUACCAAGCCGACGAUCUGUAGCUGGUCUGAGAGGAUGAUCAGCCACACUGGGACUGAGACACGGCCCAGACUCCUACGGGAGGCAGCAGUGGGGAAUUUUGGACAAUGGGCGCAAGCCUGAUCCAGCCAUGCCGCGUGCAGGAUGAAGGCCUUCGGGUUGUAAACUGCUUUUGUACGGAACGAAAAGCCUUCUUUUAAUACAGGAGGGUCAUGACGGUACCGUAAGAAUAAGCACCGGCUAACUACGUG